GCCAGACUCCUACGGGAGGCAGCAGUGGGGGAUAUUGCACAAUGGGGGGAACCCUGAUGCAGCGACGCCGCGUGGGUGAAGGAGCGUUUCGGCGCGUAAAGCCCUAUUGGCAGGGAAGAAGGAGGACGGUACCUGACUAAGAAGCCCCGGCUAACUACGUGCCAGCAGCCGCGGUAAUACGUAGGGGGCAAGCGUUAUCCGGAUUUACUGGGUGUAAAGGGGGCGCAGACGGCAGCGCAAGCCAGGAGUGAAAGCCCGGGGCCCAACCCCGGGACUGCUCUUGGAACUGCGCGGCUGGAGUGCAGGAGGGGCAGGCGGAAUUCCUGGUGUAGCGGUGAAGUGCGUAGAUAUCAGGAGGAACACCGGUGGCGAAGGCGGCCUGCUGGACUGCGACUGACGUUGAGGCCCGAAAGCGUGGGGAGCAAACAGGAUUAGAUACCCCAGUA
rnacentral:rRNA from 1 species